CCGAUAGAACAUUAUGCCUGGAAUGGUUUAUGUUUCAAAUGAUUUAUCGCCAUAGGAUGGGACUGCGGCCUAUCAGUUUGUUGGUGAGGUAAUGGCCCACCAAGACUAUUACAGGUACGGGCUCUGAGAGGAGUAGCCCGGAGAUGGGUACUGAGACACGGACCCAGGCCCUAUGGGGCGCAGCAGGCGAGAAAACUUUGCAAUGUGCGAAAGCACGACAAGGUUAAUCCGAGUGGUUUCUGCUAAAGAAACCUUUUGUCAGUCCUAGAAACACUAACGAAUAAGGGGUGGGCAAGUUCUGGUGUCAGCCGCCGCGGUAAAACCAGCACCUCAAGUGGUCAGGAUGAUUAUUGGGCCUAAAGCAUCCGUAGCUCGUUUUGUAAGUUUUCGGUUAAAUCCAUGCGCUUAACGUAUGGGCUGCCGGGAAUACUGCAUAACUAGGAAGUGGGAGAGGUAGACGGUACUCGGGAGGAAGGGGUAAAAUCCUUUGAUCUCUUGAUGACCACCUGUGGCGAAGGCGGUCUACCAGAACACGUUCGACGGUGAGGGAUGAAAGCUGGGGGAGCAAACCGGAUUAGAUACCCGGGUAGUCCCAGCUGUAAACUAUGCAAACUCAGUGAUGCAUUGGCUUAUGGCCAAUGCAGUGCUGCAGGGAAGCCGUUAAGUUUGCCGCCUGGGAAGUACGUACGCAAGUAUGAAACUUAAAGGAAUUGGCGGGGGAGCACCACAAGGGGUGAAGCCUGCGGUUC
rnacentral:rRNA from 1 species